rnacentral:rRNA from 1 species
GACAGAGGUGCCAAGCGUUAGGCGGAAUCACUGGGCUUAAAGCGUGUGUAGGCGGAUCGUUAAGUACCUUGUGAAAUCCCACGGCUCAACCGUGGAACUGCUCGGUAUACUGGCGAUCUUGAGCUGUCUAGGGGCUACCGGAACAAAUGGUGGAGCGGUGAAAUGCGUAGAUAUCGCCUGGAACGCCGAAGGUGAAAACAGUCUGCUGGGGGCGCACCGACGCUGAGACACGAAAGCCAGGGGAGCGAACGGG